rnacentral:rRNA from 1 species
CGGCGCACGGGUGAGUAACACGUAUCCAACCUGCCGUCUACUCUUGGACAGCCUUCUGAAAGGAAGAUUAAUACAAGAUGGCAUCAUGAGUCCGCAUGUUCACAUGAUUAAAGGUAUUCCGGUAGACGAUGGGGAUGCGUUCCAUUAGAUAGUAGGCGGGGUAACGGCCCACCUAGUCUUCGAUGGAUAGGGGUUCUGAGAGGAAGGUCCCCCACAUUGGAGCUGAGACACGGUCCAAACUCCUACGGGAGGCAGCAGUGAGGAAUAUUGGUCAAUGGGCGAGAGCCUGAACCAGCCAAGUAGCGUGAAGGAUGACUGCCCUAUGGGUUGUAAACUUCUUUUAUAAAGGAAUAAAGUCGGGUAUGCAUACCCGUUUGCAUGUACUUUAUGAAUAAGGAUCGGCUAACUCCGUGCCAGCAGCCGCGGUAAUACGGAGGAUUCGAGCGUUAUCCGGAUUUAUUGGGUUUAAAGGGAGCGUAGAUGGAUGUUUAAGUCAGUUGUGAAAGUUUGCGGCUCAACCGUAAAAUUGCAGUUGAUACUGGAUAUCUUGAGUGCAGUUGAGGCAGGCGGAAUUCGUGGUGUAGCGGUGAAAUGCUUAGAUA